rnacentral:rRNA from 1 species
UACACGACCGUACCGCAAACCGACACUGGUGCGCGAGAUGAGUAUUCUAAGGCGCUUGAGAGAACUCAGGAGAAGGAACUCGGCAAAUUGACACCGUAACUUCGGAAGAAGGUGUGCCUUUAGUAGGUGAACCAUUUACUUGGGGAGCCCAAUGAGGUUGCAAAAAAUCGGUGGCUGCGACUGUUUAAUAAAAACACAGCACUCUGCAAACACGAAAGUGGACGUAUAGGGUGUGACGCCUGCCCGGUGCUGGAAGAUUAAAUGAUGGGGUGCAAGCUCUUGAUUGAAGUCCCGGUAAACGGCGGCCGUAACAAUAACGGUCCUAAGGUAGCGAAAUUCCUUGUCGGGUAAGUUCCGACCUGCACGAAUGGCGUAACGAUGGCCACACUGUCUCCUCCUGAGACUCAGCGAAGUUGAAAUGUUUGUGAUGAUGCAAUCUCCCCGCGGAAAGACGGAAAGACCCCAUGAACCUUUACUGUAGCUUUGUAUUGGACUUUGAACAGAUCUGUGUAGGAUAGGUGGGAGGCUUUGAAGUGUGGUCGCUAGAUCGCAUGGAGCCAACGUUGAAAUACCACCCUGGUGUGUUUGAGGUUCUAACCUAGGCCCGUAAUCCGGGUCGGGGACAGUGCAUGGUAGGCAGUUUGACUGGGGCGGUCUCCUCCCAAAGCGUAACGGAGGAGUUCGAAGGUACGCUAGGUACGGUCGGACAUCGUGCUAAUAGUGCAAUGGCAUAAGCGUGCUUAACUGCGAGACUGACAAGUCGAGCAGAUGCGAAAGCAGGACAUAGUGAUCCGGUGGUUCUGUAUGGAAGGGCCAUCGCUCAACGGAUAAAAGGUACUCUGGGGAUAACAGGCUGAUACCGCCCAAGAGUUCAUAUCGACGGCGGUGUUUGGCACCUCGAUGUCGGCUCAUCUCAUCCUGGGGCUGUAGCCGGUCCCAAGGGUAUGGCUGUUCGCCAUUUAAAGAGGUACGUGAGCUGGGUUUAAAACGUCGUGAGACAGUUUGGUCCCUAUCUUCCGUGGGCGCUGCAGAUUUGAGGAAGCCUGCUCCUAGUACGAGAGGACCGGAGUGGACACACCUCUGGUGUAUCGGUUGUCACGCCAGUGGCAUUGCCGAGUAGCUAUGUGUGGAAGAGAUAACCGCUGAAAGCAUCUAAGCGGGAAACUCGUUUCAAGAUGAGAUCUGCCGGGGCCUUGAGCCCCCUAAAGAGUCGUUCAAGACCAGGACGUUGAUAGGUCAGGUGUGGAAGCGCAGUAAUGCGUUAAGCUAACUGAUACUAAUUGCUCGUGCGGCUUGACCC